rnacentral:rRNA from 1 species
AUUGAACGCUGGCGGCAGGCCUAACACAUGCAAGUCGCGCGAGCGGCGGACGGGUGAGUAAUGUCUGGGAAACUGCCUGAUGGCGGGGGAUAACUACUGGAAACGGUAGCUAAUACCGCCUACCAUCAGCUGUGCCCAGAUGGGAUUCGCUAGUAGGUAGGGUAACGGCUCACCUAGGCGACGAUCCCUAGCUGGUCUGAGAGGAUGACCAGCGACACUGAAAUUGAGACACGGCCCAGACUCCUACGGGAGGCAGCAGUGGAGAAUAUUGGACAAUGGGGGCAAGACUGAAGCAGCCAUGAGGCGUGUGUGAAGAAGGCGUUCGGGUUGAAAAGCACGUUGAGCGGGGAGGCGUUACCCGCAGAAGAAGCACCGGCUAACUCCGUGCCAGCAGCCGCGGUAAUUC